rnacentral:rRNA from 1 species
CAGUCGCCGCGGUAAUACGGAGGGGGCUAGCGUUGUUCGGAAUUACUGGGCGUAAAGCGCACGUAGGCGGCUUGGUAAGUUAGAGGUGAAAGCCCGGAGCUCAACUCCGGAAUUGCCUUUAAGACUGCCGAGCUAGUAGGUGAGAGAGGUAAGCGGAAUUCCGAGUGUAGAGGUGAAAUUCGUAGAUAUUGGGAAGAACACCGGUGGCGAAGGCGGCAACCUGGUCCUUGACUGACGCUGAGGCGCGAAAGCGUGGGGAGCAAACAGGAUUAGAUACCCCUGUAGUCCCUGUCUCUUAUAC